GUCUUUAUUUCAAAUAUUUUUAAAGUCUAACCUGCCCACUGAAAAAUUAAAUGGCCGCGGUACUCUGACCGUGCAAAGGUAGCAUAAUAAUUUGUUUUUUAAUUGAAAGCUUGAAUGAAAGGUUGGACAAAAAAUAAACUGUUUUUAAUUUUAAACUUUAAUUUUACUUUUAGGUGAAAAGGCCUAAAUAAUAUUUAAAGACGAUAAGACCCUAUAAAGCUUUAUAACAUAGAUUUUUGAAAAAUUUAUAUAGUUUAAUAAUAUUUAAUUCUUUGUGUUAUUUUAUUGGGGUGAUAAGAAUAUUAAAAUAAAAAACUGUUUUUAAUAAAUCACAAAAGUGUUUGAGAGUAAAUUUAUUGAUCCUUAAAUUAAGAUUUCAAGUUUAAGUUACUUUAGGGAUAACAGCGUAAUUUUUUUUGAGAGUUCUUAUCGAAAAAAAAGUUUGCGACCUCGAUGUUGAAUUAGAAUUUCUUUAUUUGGUGCAGAAGCCAUAAAAGUAAGUCUGUUCGACUUUUAAAAUUCU
rnacentral:rRNA from 1 species